GGGUUGUGAGGUUAAGCGACUAAGCGUACACGGUGGAUGCCCUGGCAGUCAGAGGCGAUGAAGGACGUGCUAAUCUGCGAUAAGCGCCGGUAAGGUGAUAUGAACCGUUAUAACCGGCGAUUUCCGAAUGGGGAAACCCAGUGUGACUCGUCACACUAUCAUUAACUGAAUCCAUAGGUUAAUGAGGCGAACCGGGGGAACUGAAACAUCUAAGUACCCCGAGGAAAAGAAAUCAACCGAGAUUCCCCCAGUAGCGGCGAGCGAACGGGGAGGAGCCCAGAGCCUGAAUCAGCAUGUGUGUUAGUGGAAGCGUCUGGAAAGGCGCGCGAUACAGGGUGACAGCCCCGUACACAAAAGCGCAUGUGCUGUGAGCUCGAUGAGUAGGGCGGGACACGUGGUAUCCUGUCUGAAUAUGGGGGGACCAUCCUCCAAGGCUAAAUACUCCUGACUGACCGAUAGUGAACCAGUACCGUGAGGGAAAGGCGAAAAGAACCCCGGCGAGGGGAGUGAAAAAGAACCUGAAACCGUGUACGU
rnacentral:rRNA from 1 species